rnacentral:lncRNA from 9 species
GGAAGAACACCCCAGAUUACACAAGUCCAAUGUCUCUUCCAAAGCCGCGAGUCAGAUGCCAUCACUUGCUACCUGAGACGGGGUGGAGAGGGUCCAGAAGUGUUAUCUACGUGGAGUUGUCUCCACAGGGAUGGAAAUACCAGAAGUGGGAAGACGAGUCUCCCGGUAGCUAUCUCACAGGUUUGGUGCGAAAGUGAAAUAAAUUUGCCAUCGCAGGCUCAUAUCCUGGCUCAUCUGUGUCCCUGUGAUCAGUGUCCCCAUGCUUCUUGCAAAUCGGUUGUCUGUGCUCGCUGUUUAGAUCAUCUACUUUUGCCAUCAGCGGAAGGCUCCCCAAACACAUGCCUGAGCCCUUCAGAAUUAUGUUCAGAGGGGGCACGGAACAAAGAAAAGGUUGACCCCAUCCUCACUUGCUGGAGGCAGGAGAUGUGAUUCAAUGUGUCAGAGAACUUCCUAAACGACAAGACAGCAAUUUUUUAAAGUUAACUUAAAAAAGAAAAGAAAAGAAAGAAAGCUCAUGUCCUUGGCUGAUGAGCGUGGAGAAGACCUUGGGAUGGUUUUCAGAGAGACGGAAGCCUUAGCACAGGCCUGCUGCUGCACGCGUGAGUUUGGGGCUUCACCAGACAACUGUGGGACCCCCGCCCCUCCCCUGCCUCCGCUGCCCCCCCUACCCCCCCGCCUGGCCGCAUCCUCAGAGGUUUCCCAUGUCACCGUCUCCUCCAUGCAGCUGUGGGUCUGUCCUUCCUAAAACAGCAUAAUCAUGUAAUGUGUUUGCUUUAAAACCUCCAGAAGGUCUCGUUUUCCAGCAGUGAUGCCGUCCUAGUUCCUUGGCAUGUCUAUUACCCUAGUGACAGUCCAGCUCCAACUCCGCUGUCCAGACCCACCCCCUGUCACUUGUCCCUGCAGGUUCUCUUUUGGCCACAAGAAACCACCUGUUUUCCUGUGCUCGUGCUCCUCCUUUUCUUACCUGUGCUCCUACUGGUCCCUCCAACCAGAACCCUGUCUCCUCCACCUCUUCUCUGGAAGGUGGAUUCCCAUGACCCACUUCCAACGUCUCCUCCCUUGAAGAGGUCUCCUCUCGAACCCGCCCUCUACCUUUCCCCAUUCAGCCAGCUUUCAUUGCUUCCUCUGUUAUUCUCUCAAAGCAUUUUUUGAAAGUCUGUUGCAGAGUUCCCACAAUGGCUCAGCAGUAGCAAACCCAAAUAGUACCCAAAGGACGUGGGGUUCGAUCCCUGGUCUCGCUCAGUGGGUUAAGGAUCCCGUGUUACCUUGAGCUGUGGUGUAGGUCACAGAUGAGGCUCAGAUCCAUCGUUGCUGUGGUUGUGGUGUAGGCUGGCAGCUGUAGCUCUGAUUUGACCUCUAGCCUGGGAAUUUCCAUUUGCCUUGGGUAUGGCCCUAAAAUGCAAAUAAAUAAACAAAUAUAAAAAGCCUGUCUCUAAUUAAAAAAAAAAAAAAAAAAAA